ACGGGAGGCAGCAGUGGGGAAUAUUGGACAAUGGGCGAAAGCCUGAUCCAGCGACGCCGUGUGAGUGAAGAAGUAUUUCGGUAUGUAAAGCUCUAUCAGCAGGGAAGAUGAUGACGGUACCUGACUAAGAAGCCCCGGCUAACUACGUGCCAGCAGCCGCGGUAAUACGUAGGGGGCAAGCGUUAUCCGGAUUUACUGGGUGUAAAGGGAGCGUAGGCGGUCAGACAAGUCAGAUGUGAAAGCCCGGGGCUCAACUCCGGGACUGCAUUUGAAACUGUAGGACUAGAGUACUGGAGAGGCAAGCGGAAUUCCUAGUGUAGCGGUGAAAUGCGUAGAUAUUAGGAAGAACACCGGUGGCGAAGGCGGCUUGCUGGACAGAGACUGACGCUGAGGCUCGAAAGCGUGGGGAGCAAACAGGAUUAGAUACCCUGGUA
rnacentral:rRNA from 1 species